CAGUGGGGAAUUUUGGACAAUGGGCGAAAGCCUGAUCCAGCCAUGCCGCGUGCAGGAUGAAGGCCUUCGGGUUGUAAACUGCUUUUGUACGGAACGAAACGGUGAGCUCUAAUAAAGUUUGCUAAUGACGGUACCGUAAGAAUAAGCACCGGCUAACUACGUGCCAGCAGCCGCGGUAAUACGUAGGGUGCGAGCGUUAAUCGGAAUUACUGGGCGUAAAGCGUGCGCAGGCGGUUAUAUAAGACAGAUGUGAAAUCCCCGGGCUCAACCUGGGACCUGCAUUUGUGACUGUAUAGCUAGAGUACGGUAGAGGGGGAUGGAAUUCCGCGUGUAGCAGUGAAAUGCGUAGAUAUGCGGAGGAACACCGAUGGCGAAGGCAAUCCCCUGGACCUGUACUGACGCUCAUGCACGAAAGCGUGGGGAGCAAACAGGAUUAGA
rnacentral:rRNA from 1 species